ensembl:lncRNA
GUCUGUCAUUUACAACCAAAUAAAGUGAUUCAAAAAGUGUGUUUGAAGCUCGAAAGUUUACAUAUAUACUUCUAGCGGCUCUAUCGCUACAGUGCAAGCAGCAUGUAGAAGUAUUUCCACAAGGCGGCAGUAUUUAAUCAACUGAGACUUGUCUGGAAUACACAUUGAGAAUUCAUUCCAUGUAGAAUGCCACGUAAAUAAAUCACACAUGAGGGAGAAGAACAGCCUGAAAUGCACACAUACGUUUGAUACCGUAUCUCAAAGUAAUUUAUGCGUCUGUUGGUUGUGCAAAAAGUUGUUUUCUUUCUUUCAGAACAGUGAUUACGUUUAACCACAGUUAUGAAUAGACAGGAAACAUAUAUAGAAUACAUUUAUAGAGAUGGAAAAUAUAUAUAUAUAUCUUAUACUUCGUGGCCAGUUCGAAUUAAUAGUUAUUCUCCGAGCAUACUCAAUCACAGCACUUAGAGGUCGGCUGUGAAUACCAUCUGCUCGAAAUGCAUCAUGGGAAAUGUUGUUCAAAAAGGCGGUGGACUCUCACGCAACACCUGACACCACCUCACAGCGCUUUUCUGGUGUUGCGUAUUUAAAUGCAUAAGAAUAAACGAUUGGGUUAGUCGCUCAAAUAAAUGAACAAACAAAAUAACGGUUCGAAGCUUAGCGAUAAAUCAUUUAAAGAACUACACAUCCCAGUAGACCGUUAACGCGAUUGGAGAAUAUGGGGUGAGGGAUGUCCUGUUGAGGUGGGGGGGCAACACACACCGACUACUGGAAGCAUUGUGAGAAUUACAUUGUUGCACAUUAUCCAAGGGCUUAGAGAUGAUAAAAUAACGGACAGCGGGAUCAAAUCCUAGUGCACAUCUGCAUUAGAAUACUACGUGGACGCUGGAAACCACCACCGGCAGAGAAUUGAUGUGAAUAAUCAUAUGGAAGCUGAAUGCUGUUCAUUUAGUGCAACAUCUACAACAGUCUGCAGAAAUUUACAUUCCAGAGAGGAGGUGAAGUGCGUGUCUUUACAUCCAAAAACUGCCCCAGCUUUAAGAAUACACUAUGAUGAAGGGUUAUGCCUCCUAAGAGGCAUAGCAAGUUUGGAAGGUCGUCCUGAAUCGAGAAGAGCAGCUGGAUUUCACUGCCAUCCUAAUGCACAGCACCCUCUCAGACUGACGGGUUUUCACUGGCAGUAAACUGGCAAGUUAGAAUGAGAGCUCACACAGGUUGGCCAGCAGCAGCAUCCCAGAGAUUAUAGAUUUGGAGAUUACAGGACAACAGCAGGUCAGGGCACAUUGCCUUGUUGAAAUCUGAGUUCUCCACCUCACCAAUUCCGUUAAGAGCUGUCAUCGUGAAAUUGGCAAGCGAGCCCUGCGACACAACACAUUCACAUGCACUCGGCUGAUCACAUACUCCACUAGCUGCAGUGUUAGAAGAAAAUCGGAUGCUGUUUUUGUUUGUUGCUGUCUUUUCUUAUUUUUAUUUGGUUCAUUUUUAUUAUCCACUGACCUGGAGAGAGUUAAACUGCUCAAAUGAUCAAACCAUGAUGGCAGAAUAUUCUAAAGUGCUUAUCAAGACUGGAAUGUUCAAACCACUCAGUUAGGAUGGAAAACUGAUGGAACCAGAGGUUCCUCAUAUUUGAAUCUUCAAGCUGCUAUCAUUGAAGACACCAUAAAGACCAAGGGACAAACUCAGUGGCAUGUCUCUGCACUCAAAGUAACUCACAGGAUAUGCAACUACGGCUAAAUGAAUGAGACUGAAAGAGUUUGAAGAGUGUUGUAGAAUGUAAUGCUAUUCAAGAUGUCUGCAAAAGAGCUUUAUUACAAGACUGUGAGAAAACUCCACCCAUUUCCACCUCUGGCUGCGAAGUUCGACAAGGUGGCUCGCUAGACGGAGCGGACAGCCACGGACAAACGGGAUUACAGUGACAAACUUGGACACAUAGAGGAAUGUAAUGGAACAGACACGGAUGACAGCCUAGCUUGUCUGGCACUGAGAUGUCAAAACCACAGAGGGGGCUAUUCCUCCAACUGUCACUGCAAGGAGAAUAGAGCCGAUCACACACACGCCUACAAGCAGACUGAUUUUUAGAGGCGAAAGACUGGUUUGUGUUUGUACCGUGGCAGUAUAGACAGUUCAAAAGCGUGAAAGAGAGAGCUGGAGGAGAUCCCAUGGUGUAGGGGGAAGAGAGUGAAAAUAAAGAGCGGUAAAAGGCUCCA